ensembl:snoRNA small nucleolar RNA SNORA2/SNORA34 family
CUGGCCCUUGAUUCUGACCUUGGCAGCUUCCUGAUGCUGUUGGUUUCAAGCAGGAGCCUAAAGAGAUAUCUUUCUAUGGUAUGUUGGCCAUUUCAGAACUUGGGCAGUGAAAUGGUCAAUUCAUUGAAAGAAACAGCU